ncrna:unclassified sequences IMES-2 RNA motif
UUCUUAAUUAAGAGGCAACUCUUAACUGGCCAUCUGGGGAAAAACCGAGAGGUUCAAGCCUAGAGGGCAGAAAGUCUUGCAGAGUAGCGCUAAAAUUGUAAGGCGGUCAUGGCUUGGCGGUAGCGCAUACAACGACGAGCCAA